rnacentral:rRNA from 1 species
GAUGAACGCUGGCGGCGUGCCUAAUACAUGCAAGUCGAGCGAACGGACGAGAAGCUUGCUUCUCUGAUGUUAGCGGCGGACGGGUGAGUAACACGUGGAUAACCUACCUAUAAGACUGGGAUAACUUCGGGAAACCGGAGCUAAUACCGGAUGAUAUUUUGAACCGCAUGGUUCAAAAGUGAAAGACGGUCUUGCUGUCACUUAUAGAUGGAUCCGCGCUGCAUUAGCUAGUUGGUAAGGUAACGGCUUACCAAGGCAACGAUGCAUAGCCGACUUGAGAGGGUGAUCGGCCACACUGGAACUGAGACACGGUCCAGACUCCUACGGGAGGCAGCAGUAGGGAAUCUUCCGCAAUGGGCGAAAGCCUGACGGAGCAACGCCGCGUGAGUGAUGAAGGUCUUCGGAUCGUAAAACUCUGUUAUUAGGGAAGAACAUAUGUGUAAGUAACUGUGCACAUCUUGACGGUACCUAAUCAGAAAGCCACGGCUAACUACGUG